rnacentral:tRNA from 1 species
GUUUUUGUAGUUGAAUAACAACGGUGGUUUUUCAAGCCAUUGGCCCUGGUGAAAUUCCAGGUAAAAACU